rnacentral:ncRNA from 1 species
GGUAUCUAGCGUGAGCUGAUAUGGAGCUUCCAUAAGCACAGAUCUUGGUGAUAGUAGCAAAUAUUCGAAUGAGAUCUUGGAUGGCUGAAGUGGAGAAGGUU